UAGACAGAUCUGGCAUUUAAACAAAAGCAGAAGGAGGAGCAAAAGAAACUUGAGGAGAUGAAAGCAAAGGCUGCUGGAAAAGGGCCCCUCACCAGCGGUGGAAUAAAGAAGUCUGGCAAAAAGUAGUUUGAUCAAACUGCAGGGUAAGAAGUGAUCGAGUUACUCCAUGGAUCUGCAGACUUCAGUCAUGAAAACUCACUGUCAUUUGGGAAACAUUGUACAUUUUGUUUAGUCAGAAUAAAUCUUUUUUGUUAAGAUGUAAUAUUUUCCCUCUUUACCUGUAGGUUUUGUUUUAAAAAUCAUGUUACUGUUUUAUACUGGAAACAAAACUUUUGCUGAAGACGGUUUGGGACAUUACACAGCCCAAGUGUGUCCUCUGGCUUGGUAGUAAUUUGUGAGAAUAAAUUUCAACUUUUGCUUUUUU